CAGGUUCUUUUGUGUUUGGCUAUUUUACUUAGCAUAAGGUCCUAUAUCCCUGCUGUAGGAGGUGUCAGAAUUUCCUUCCUUCUUAAGGCAGAAUAAUAUUCCAUGACUUCCUAGUGGUGUGGAGUGGUAUCUCAUUGUGGUUUUGAUUUUCCUGAUGGCCAGUGAUGGUAGCCAUUGCGCCAUCAGCCGGGCUCCUGGAAGGGAAUCAAGUGGAGCAGACCAGAAUCUAAGACCAACGCAAGCCUGGCCAACCCACGUGCAGCACACAGACCAGUGAGAGAAAAAAACAGCAACAAUAACAACAACAACAAAGGGCGAAGCUGAAGCACCAGAGUAAUAUAAAUAAUGAAACUGACACCACUGGCUCCUGGGAGGAAAGGUUUCUGGUUUGCUACUAAGCCCUGAUAGAAGCUGAAUGUUUGACUAUGGGAAAUCAAGUAAGCCUACGAACUGGAUGCUCUCUGAUCAGCCAAGGCAUGAGGUCAGUCACACGCAGCAUCAGUCCAUGGUCAGAGGGUGGUGGUCUGUGUGAGGUCAGACUGAAGCAGAUCUAGAAGGCAUAAACAAGAUGUGUAAGCAGGUGGCUCACACCUGGUCGACACCUACUCCUCCUUCGACACCUGCUCCUGCUGCAUUGCUGCUCCUGCGUCAAUCCACACCCAUUGCCUCAUGGAGAGUUUCCUAGGAGCAGCUUUGGAGCAAGAAAAAGCUCAUUCUUGGUUUACAGAUUGGUCUGUACAAAGUGUUGACUAACAGCUGCUGUACUGGACAUUGCAAAUAUAUUUCUGUCAUUGCAGAACGUGUGUUAGUGCUGGCUAGAUCUGGCUGAUUGCAUUCUUCAUGGUGUAUUUAACAUUUUCCUUUGCCAACUCCUAUAGUUGGGUCUAGAGGUUCAAUUUGCUUUGUGUUUGGUUUUGUUUGUUUGUUUGGCCAGACUACUUCAUGAAUCGUAUUGUCUUUUUCAACUAAGCAGGCUCGUAAUGACUAGUUGCCCCUCUUGUCAUCAGCUGCUGUUAAUCAAUAAUAGAUCCAUUAUUCCAUUAGGCUCUGAAAAUUAGUGAUAUUCUAAAUUUGUCAUUUCUUCUUGAUGUAUUGGCUGGAAUACCUCUAUACAGAACACUUCCUCUCACAUACCUCACUUCCCCAAGUAGAGGUACUGGAAAGACAACAUACAUAGCUGAUUCCUUACUUUUAUUUUCAAGGUUUCCAAAUGAACUUGUUUCCUAAUGCUUUGCAGCAAUCACCAAAUAAUAUUUUGAGUGCCACUGUGGACUUGGGCAUUUAAUUUAUUUUAUGUGUUUUGAUCCGUUGAAUUUUUAGAGGCUCGGAUUGUCUUCUGUUUGACCCGUGCCUCCUCUUUACUUUGGCUCCUGAACACUUUUGACAUCAAUCUCUUUGAUAACUUCCUUACUAGCUCAUCUGACAAGAUGUUCCAGGCUUAUUUUAUACCUUGUAUUUUUUAUCCCAGAGUUGGAAGCAGCCAUUUCCUUCAAAGAGCCUUUAUUUCCCAGUGGGAAAUGGUCUUUGAAAGCCACGCUCUGGGUCUAGGGGGUGCUCAUUUGUUUCUAGACCCUUUGAAUGGGCAGACCUAGGAAAUACAGAAUAGAAAUACCAACAACCUCAGAAAAAUGCACUAGAACUUUGGGAAGAUGGUUGACAAGAAAAGGAAAUGCAGGUGUCUUCUAAUCAUAUGAAAAGAGGCUCAAUCUCAUUUGUAAUAAUAGAUUAUUAAACUGAUCCUGACAUACAAUUUCUCAUCUCCCAUAUUAACAAAAUUCAAAGGUUUGACAACACACUCUUGGCAAGGCUGUGCUGAAACAGGCACUCAGAUCUUGCUCAUGGAAAUGCAAACUGGUAAAGUCCAUAUGGAGGGAAAUUUGUUCAGUAAAAUUACAUAGGAGUUUAUUUUGUGCCCCAGUAAUCCAAUUUAUGCGACUCUUUCUCAGAACACUCUGGCAAAAAUAUGAGCAGACAUAGGCAUGAAGCCACUCACUGCACACAAAAGAUGAGAAACCACCCAAUGUCUAUAAGAGAAGGCAGGAUACAUCUAUAUGAUGGAGUGCUAUGUGGCUAUAAAAAGGAAUGAGAAAGAUUUCUGUAGGCGCUAUGAAAUGAUAUCUAAAACAUAUGAUUCCACACAAAAAAGAGAAGGAAAGAAGUGUGUAGAGUAUGCAACAUCAUAUCUAUGUGGAGGGAGGGCCUCAAAUAUACAUUUACAAAAAUAUACAUAUGUGUGACACACACAAAAACAUUUGGUCUCUGCCUUCGGGUCCUGACACAGAGCUCUCUUAAAACUCUUGUAAUUUUCUGAGUGAUGGGGGUGACUGGAGUGUCUUUUACAGAGCUCCUAAAUAUCCUGGCAUUUCCUGGUAGGAGAGCCUUUUGUUUUAAUGAGGCAACUCUUGGUGGGCUCCUAGGUAGCUUUAGGAUGGGGGCUGGUCAGACCAAGCCAUGCCAGAUCAAGACCAAGCCAUGAUCGGAAGCUUGGAACUUUCAGCCCCACCCCCUCCUAUCCCCUCUGGAGGGUAGAGGGGCUGGAGACUGAGUUAAUCAGGCCUCAGUGAUGAGGCCUCCAUAAAAAUCCCUGAACUAUGGGGUUUGGAGAGCUUCUGGAUUGCAAAUACAUUCACCUGGGAGGAGGGUGGUAUAUCCCAAACUCCACGAGGACAGAUGUUCCUGCACUCAGGACCCUUCCAGAUCUCAUCCUUUGUAUGUCUUCUUCUGGCUGUUCACCUAUAUACUUUGUAAUAUCUCUUACAAGAAGCUGGUAAACAUACAAAAUGUUUCCUUGUGUUUUGUGACCCAUUGCAAAUUGCCUAACCUGAGGGGUUGGGAUUGUG